rnacentral:rRNA from 1 species
GAUGAACGCUGGCGGCGUGCCUAAUACAUGCAAGUCGAGCGAACAGACGAGGAGCUUGCUCCUCUGACGUUAGCGGCGGACGGGUGAGUAACACGUGGAUAACCUACCUAUAAGACUGGGAUAACUUCGGGAAACCGGAGCUAAUACCGGAUAAUAUAUUGAACCGCAUGGUUCAAUAGUGAAAGACGGUUUUGCUGUCACUUAGAGAUGGAUCCGCGCCGCAUUAGCUAGUUGGUAGGGUAACGGCUUACCAAGGCAACGAUGCGUAGCCGACCUGAGAGGGUGAUCGGCCACACUGGAACUGAGACACGGUCCAGACUCCUACGGGAGGCAGCAGUAGGGAAUCUUCCGCAAUGGGCGAAAGCUUGACGGAGCAACGCCGCGUGAGUGAUGAAGGUCUUCGGAUCGUAAAACUCUGUUAUUAGGGAAGAACAAAUGUGUAAGUAACUAUGCACGUCUUGACGGUACCUAAUCAGAAAGCCACGGCUAACUACGUG